UUUUUAAAUUUAAUCUCACAAUAAAUAUUUUUUACGUUUAAAAUCUAUUUUUAUAAGCUUUAGGGUUGAUACUUUACAGAGCCUACAAAACAUAUGAAUAUGGUUACAAAAUUAUUUAAAUACUCUUAAUACAUAUUAAUAUUAUUUACCUAUAUUAAAAAAAAUCAAAUAUUAAAGGAAAAAAGUUUUCACUAAUGAUUAGUAAAAAUUUAAAAAACCUUCGAAGCUUGUAAUAAAUUAUAAAAUUAAUAAAUCAGUAUCUCUAAUCAACAAAACAUAUUUUUUACAAAUCACAAGUGGUUAUUUUAUGAGUGUGCCGGUUCAACCCAGUCUGAAUGAAUUUCUUUACGCUGUUAAUCAUCAUUCCAUUAUAGAAAUUUGCACACCCACUUCAAAUUACACUUUUGCUUGUCUGGCUAAUGUUAUAUGCGGAUGAAGUUUAUACUUAAUACAUAUACAAACGGAAAAAUAAAACACGUGUGUCUACAACCCAAAAGUUCAGCUACACUGUAACGCCUCAACGCCAACGCCACCACCAACGACUGAGGCGACGACGCUCACCAUGACGUCGGCAGCGCCAUAAACAGGAAAUUUUGUGCAGAGAGCUGAAGCUCCCAGUUGAAAACGCACAACAGCCACCAAGUGGCGGCUCUAGAGCAGCCGAAUAGUGCAACAAACAAUUAAUUCACCAUUCAUCGAUUUGCGACCGGCACCAAUUCAACGAUUGCAACCAAAAAUAAAAUAUAAAAAAGCCAUGAUGCACUUGUGCUCAGUUUGUUUCGCUCGCUGAGUUUUAUGGUAAAAGAGCGCACGAAAAUAGUGCGAUUAAACACGUAAAAUCGAAAUAAAAACCAUUUCUCCAUCAGUGGUUGCUGCCGGUAGUGUCAUCGGUAUUCGCUGUUAUUGCUGCUACACGAGUGCCAAACUGAAAUUACGAGUUCGAAUACUCAUUUUGCUUAGUCAACGAUUUUUUUCAAUUUAGUGGUGUAUAUUAGGACGAGCCGCUUGAUGCAGCGCUCAGUCAAUUUCGCAAAGUCCAACGGGUAACAACGAAGUGCAAACCAACAACUGCUCACUUGCCAAACUGUGACCACCGCUGUCUUCGCUUUCGCUUAAAUGAACAGGCAACGCGUCGCUAAAACGUAGGAAAAAGAAAAUUAAACAAACACUGCCAGUGUUAGCAAGUAGCGGGUGUACAAUAAAAAAAAAUAUAUAUAAAUUUUCACUAAAUUCUACAAAUACAAAUACGACAGCCAGUCAUUACAAAUACAAGGACAUUAUACAAUAUUUGAAGUGCGCAGUGUUAUUUGCAAAAAUUAUUUAAUAGCAAAAAUUCUGAAAAAAAUAGUAAAAAUUAAAAACACCAGCAUUUUUGCACAUUAAACGUGCCCUUAUUAAGAUAGUCACUGCCAAAGCAAAUAUUAUAAAUUUAAGCAAAAUUUAUUUUACGUGCAAACCCAAAGUCAAAUAUAAACACGUGAAACCAGAAGCCAACAAGCAGGCAUUACAAAAAUAUAACGGCGUACUUGUGUUUUAAAUUUUUUUAGGAUUAUAAAAGUAAACAGUGCUUUUUAUUGAAGCUGCUAAUUAAUAUAGCCAGUGGAGCAUAUCAUCCUCGCGCAUGCAGCCAUUGCAAAUAAUUAUAAAUUACAUGUAAAUUUGAAUACAGUUGAGUGAAACAAUUAAAUAGAAGAGUUUUAAGGUCAUUAUUUACCCCAGUCCAGUUAUACAAAAGUGAUAAGCAAAGCAGAGUUCUCACAAAAAUCCGUGCCAUAUGGAGAUGCGUUCAAAAUUGGGCAGCUUCGAGCUGAAAGACUGCAGUGCCGAAAGCGCCGCUGAACGUUAUCAGCUGCUGGUAUUUAUUAAAUUAAAGCGUAAGCGGCGAGUUUUGUUAUUGCAAUGUAACUGAAAUGGAGCAAACAUUACGCAAUUACAUCCACUAUCUUCUCACAUUAGAAGUCCUACAUAUAUAUUUAUAUAAGUACAGGAAAAUUAUUUGCGUCCGGCGACUUAUUAACUGAUCUUACUGACGCAAAUGCGGCUUGGCAUUGGUUGUGUGAGUUAGCCUUUAGGUUGAAAUAAAUAUACAGUAUGUGUGCAUAAAAUUAUGUAUGUCACGCAAAGAUUUGAAUAUAAUUCUGUAUAAAAAUAAAAUUGAUUUGAAAUAAUAAUUUGAAAUUAGAUGAGAGUAAAUAUUUAAUAUGUAUGUAUGUAUGUAUGUACUUGUCUUCGCUCUUAAAAAAAUAAAUUAAAUUUUCUUGAAAAUUUAUUGGCUGAUUUUCAGUGCAUAGUCUUAAGGCAGUUCGUAAUAUUUAAUUAAUUAAAUUUCAAUAUCCGUUUUAUAUGAUACAGAUUGCGAUAUCUUUUUAAUUAAUAUUUGUGUCUAAACUUGAAAUUAUUCAUUAGGUAAGUUUAGCAUAUAUUCUCUUGAAUUAUUGAAUUUCGAUCAUAGCGCACAAUUUCUAGGAACCUUUUAUUUCAGAAAAUUAAAUAAAAUAAAAUAAAAUUAAAAAUGUUUUUUUUGUUUUAUUUUUUAUAAAGAGUAUAUCAAAAAUUAGUUACUUAACUUUAAAAAUAUAUAUAUUUAAGUAUGUUCUCAAAAAUGCAUAUGUUUUAAAAAAAUUUGAAACAUAAAAGUAAAAAAUAUCUCAGAAUUUCUAAAAGUAUAAAUAUUUGUAAAUUUCAUUAACAAAGAAAUACCAUCUGAUCAAAUUUGACGCGAAAGUAGUGCAUUCAAAAGGGGCGCAUAAAUUAAAUCGAUAAACUUUUUUUUCUUGAUUGGUAGCUAUUUGUUUACGACGCGAAAAGUUUGUCUGGCGAUUUUGACCAUGAAACCAUAUUUAGAUGAACAGAUACUGUAAGUUUCACGCUGACAUUAUGCAGCUUUAACAGCUUGUACAUACAUACCUUAGUGAAGAUCUAACCAAAAGGUAUAGAAAAUACACAUCAUCCUUUGGAUAUAAAUAUAUGCAAUUAUUUGUCGUGUGUACAUAAGUGCAUGUAGAAUAAUUCAAUUUUGUGUCUACAUCUGUCAUAAAAAUGUCACAUUUCUUAGUUCUUAAAUUUGCGGCACAAGAUAGCUUCUGUAUAUAUGCACCUGUUUACGUAUGUAUAUACCUUCACAUAUACUUCGUAUUGAGUGGGCGAAAAGGUUUAAAUAGAUGGCUAUUUUCUUAACUGACAUUAGUAGCAUAGAGGCGCGAAGGUUAGACAGUACAAAAAAUUCGAAAGACUUUUAUAUUUAGCGUUUAAUUAGUACUCAAAACAAGCAUUGUUAUUUUUUAUAUAUAAAUUAGUUUAUGCACAAAUUGAAAAUUUCGAGAAAAGAAAUUAUUCAUUAGAAUAGCAAACAUAUAAAGUCAACUCAAAUACAAAACUAUAUAAACAAAAUGGUACUUUCAAUUAUACAUACAGAACCCGUUAAGGUAAAUCGUAAACAUGGGGCCAUUUCAUUUUCAGAAGCUUUAUCACUUACCGGUUUCGGUAAAUUCAAUUACUUCCUCAUCUUCAUUUCUGGCAUGGUUUUGGCCAAUGUUUUGUUGGAGACGGCAGCUAUGGGUUUUAUUUUGCCAAUUGCACAAUGUGACUUAAAUCUUACGAAUCAGGAUAAAGGCGUCUUGAGCGCCAUUAGUUUUGCUGGUAUCAUAACAAGCUCACAUCUGUGGGGCUUUUUGGCCGACACAAAGGGGCGUAGACGGGUUAUUAGGCCGACAUUGUUGGCAGGCUUUAUUGUCACAUUAUUCUCAAGUUUUUCGCACACAUUUUGGGUGAUGGUGUUGUUGCGUUUCAUCAAUGGAUUUUUUGUCUCUGGUGGUUCGGCUACAAUUUAUGCCUACCUCGGCGAGUUCCACACAGAUAAGACACGUUCGCGCGCCAUGAUGGGUUCUUCAUUUAUCUUCGCGAUCGGCGCGAUGAUCUUGCCAAUGAUUGCCUUCCUUGUCAUCAAUCAAGACUGGGUCUUGCCCUUGCCUUUCUUGGGCAUUGAUUAUAAGCCUUGGCGGCUAUUUUUAAUCGUAUGCGGCAUACCCGGCAUGCUUUGCGGUCUCUCCAUGUUCGCUUUGCCUGAAAGUCCGAAAUUCCUCUUGGCGCACGGUAGAGAGGCGAAAGCCAUUGAGGUCUUGCAAAAAAUGCAACGUUGGAACGGUGGCACUCAAGAUCUAAAAUUAAAACACAUCCUACCGGAGGAGGAGACACCCGGCUCAAUGAUGCAGCUGAACAAUCAAUCGGCUUCGAAGGAGAACUUUGCCACCGCUUUUCUGAAGAGCAUGUGGAACCAGACUGUGCCAUUAUUCCACAAACAAUACAUACGCGUCACAUUGAUUGUUUGCAAUAUGCAAUUUUGGUUGUAUGUGGUAACGAACGGCAUGUACAUGUGGUUCCCGCACAUCAUUAACUCUAUGGUCGAGUUCAUGAAUGCUCACCCAGGCGAACACAAAGAGAUCUGUCAAAUUGUGUACGACAAACAUGAGAGCUUAUAUAAGUCUGAUGGUACAAUGGAAUGCGUUGCCAAAUUAGAGAACACUACAUAUUUUUACUCAUUAAUCAUGGAGAUCUUGUACGCUUCCUCGUUUGCCUUUAUUGGCUUGGUAAUCAACCGAGUCGGCAAGAUAAGCAUACUUUUUAUUUCAACAAUUUUCUUCACCUCAUGUGGCCUUGCUGCAGUCUUUGUGGUCGAUCCAUCGAUUGCAGCGUAUCUGUAUGUGCUCUUCUUUUUGGUGGGCGUGGCAAUUAAUGUUUUGGGCGCUGCCACAGUUGAGCUUUAUCCCACACAAAUGCGUGCCAUGGCAAUAUGCGUCUCGCUGAUGUUCGGCCGCUUGGGCAGUGUUGUGGGCGCUAAUAUUGUGGGUGCGAUACUGGCUAAAAACUGCGAACUGACUUUCUACACCGCUUGUAUUGCCUUGUAUGUCUGCGCCUUCUUGGCUCUACUGAUACCGCGAAGAACCAUGGCGCCCCCAGCUAAGCUCGUUUUGGAUGAGGCAUAAAUGUGUGAAGACGCGUAAAUUCUUAUUCUAAAUUGCGACUUAAAUGCGGAUAGCAUACUUAACUUCGCAACUACUAGUAGGGAUGGAUGUAAUACUGUUAUUAAAAAUUGUGAUUCUAUGUGUGCGUGAGUGUUUGUGUGAGUGAAUAUUUAAUUAGUAUUUUGUAUGAAAGUGUUUUUAUUUUGCGGUGCUUAUUGAGAUCGUGUGAGAUACGUGUUUUUAGAUAAAAUAUAUUGAAUGAAACUACAAAUAAAGCAAAAAAUCAAAUAAAAUAAAA